rnacentral:rRNA from 1 species
GAUGAACGCUAGCUACAGGCUUAACACAUGCAAGUCGAGGGGCAGCAUGGUCUUAGCUUGCUAAGGCUGAUGGCGACCGGCGCACGGGUGAGUAACACGUAUCCAACCUGCCGUCUACUCUUGGCCAGCCUUCUGUAAGGAAGAUUAAUCCAGGAUGGCAUCAUGAGUUCACAUGUCCGCAUGAUUAAAGGUAUUUUCCGGUAGACGAUGGGGAUGCGUUCCAUUAGAUAGUAGGCGGGGUAACGGCCCACCUAGUCAACGAUGGAUAGGGGUUCUGAGAGGAAGGUCCCCCACAUUGGAACUGAGACACGGUCCAAACUCCUACGGGAGGCAGCAGUGAGGAAUAUUGGUCAAUGGGCGAUGGCCUGAACCAGCCAAGUAGCGUGAAGGAUGACUGCCCUAUGGGUUGUAAACUUCUUUUAUAAAGGAAUAAAGUCGGGUAUGCAUACCCGU